rnacentral:rRNA from 1 species
UUUAUAUUUUUAGGUUGACCUCGGAUCAGGUAGGACUACCCGCUGAACUUAAGCAUAUCAAUAAGCGGAGGAAAAGAAACCAACAGGGAUUGCCUCAGUAACGGCGAGUGAAGCGGCAACAGCUCAAAUUUGAAAUCUGGCCUUCGGGUCCGAGUUGUAAUUUGGAGAGGAUGCUUUUGGCGCGGUGCCUUCCGAGUUCCUUGGAACAGGACGCCAUAGAGGGUGAGAGCCCCGUACGGUUGGACACCAAGCCUUUGUAAAGCUCCUUCGACGAGUCGAGUAGUUUGGGAAUGCUGCUCAAAAUGGGA